GUUAAGUAUCCAGCGCACUAUGAUGCAAGUUCGAGAGAAAUUAAAGAAAUUACGGGCACAGUAUAAAGUCAUAAAAACACACAAUUGACAAAGCGGUGCCCAGAGAAGGUGAUUGCAUAUUUGUAUGUUUUCUUACCAGUAAGUAAUUAUAGCUAAAUGUAUGUUUAUUGUAGAGAGACACGAUGGUCCCCAAGACAUUACAGUGAACAGAGGGGGAUCACAUCGCUUUCCACAAAGGACCAGAACAGAAAGUUGAAAACGUAAAGCUGCUAAUUUGGCAUCAAGGAAAUUUUUGCAGUGUAUGCGUGACAUAACACAGCAACAGCUGGAAGAAGAGCGGGAGUUGAGAAGGGAAGAAAUGAACAAAGACAUGAUGAUGAGAAGAGAGGAGCUGGAUUAUGAGGCACGACUCAGAUGUGAAGAGAUGUCUCAGAGAGAGAAGGAAGCAGAUGCUUUUGCUUCUGUCUUUGCACAUUUGGCAGCAGCUCUACAAAAAAAGUAGAUGAACACUGCACUUGUUUUGUGUUCUGUAAAGCAAACCUAUUCAUAUUACUUGUUUCUUAUUUAAAAUGUUUCUUUUAAAUAUUUUUUUGUCUAAAUACUAUAUUGCACAAACACCUGUUUGUUGUGUAUGCACAUUUUCAAAGCACCUUUGUAUUUAUUCGCUGAUACAAAUUUCAUAUAUAAAUAAAGUUAUACGUUUGCUGUUUU